CUCCCUGUCCCUCUCCAUGUCCCUCUCCUUCUCCCUCUCUCUGCUUUUUGUCACCAGGAGCUGAACAGACUCCUGCAAAUGUUACUGUGGCCAAGGCCCAGCCUGACCCAGUAUCAAGAGCCCGGGACCAUGGACUGAAGUCUCUGAAGCGAAAACACUUGCUGACCUCCAGAAGGUACAAUGAUAAAAAACAGGGGGCUGGGCUGGAGUCAUCUGAGAGAUGGAAGGAGACAUCGAUAAACAGGCCACUCAGACACGAAAUACAUUACAAGUCUACGAGCCUGGAAGGACAGAAUUUCGAGUGAAGCCAAGAUCUAGAUUUGGGGUGGGAGGCAAUCCAUCCUCCAGGUUGCCAGGGUGUCAGUGAGGCAGCAGGUGCUCCCCAGAGAAGUGAUGUCAUCAGGCCAUCCAGCUGAAACCAGAUCAGGCCUUCCAGUUGUAACCGGUACCCAGAAGCUGCCUUUCCUGAAAGCAUUGACUUCUCUCCUGAGCCCAUAAUGUAACUGAGGCGGGAUGGCCUGGCAUCUCCGCCUGCGUUCUGCAUAUCUUCCUGGUGGUGGGUCACCUGCUUCCCUCUGCACACCAGCACGUUACUCGCAACGUUUAAGGCCCAGUGAUAAGAAUAACCAAUGUAUCACACUGUCGUCCCUCACAACUUCCUGUUCUAGACUCCUCCAUGAAAGGACUCCAAAAGUCUCCAGUCAUUUCCCAAACCUGCAGUCAUCUAGGACUCCAGAAAUGGCAGUAUUUCACAACAUAUCACUCCAUAUGAGACUCUUCCCCACUUGCUUCCCUCUCAAGCAAGAGACUUCUACAACAUCUUCUAGAACCGGAACUGAGACAUUGAGCCACCAAACCUCACUAGACCAAGGCUGCUUUUUUUGUUUUGUUUUUGUUUUUUAUUUUUUCGGAUUUGGGUUUUUCGAGAUAGGGUUUCUCUGUGUAGCCCUGGCUGUCCUGUAACUCACUCUGUAGACCAGGCUGGCUUCGAACUCAGAAAUCUGCCGGCCUCUGCCCCCCAGACUACUGGGAUUAUAGGCGUGCACCACCACCACCCCGCGCAGGGUUGCUUAAUUAUGCACACCUGUUACCUUUGCCCCAAUUACUCUGCUAUUUAAUUCUAAAGCUCAUGUCAGUAUGGGAAAGAUGGAGGACCCUCCCCAUCUGGAUUUCUCAAUCUAACCACAUUGACUAACACUCUUUUCUCUGCUUUUGGGCAUAUUUGGUUGACAUUUUAGGGUGUGUGGCUAAGCCUAGCUGGUGGGGCUGUUUUAGCUUCGAAUUGUACCUUAAACUUCAGUUACAAGGUUUUUAGUCUCAAUUUCUUUUGUAUUCUGUGGAUGGCAUUUUAAAAAAUAAAUUAUGUGUGUGUGUGUGUGUGUGUGUGUGUACACAUGCACAUCUACAUGUGUGUGAGAGGUCAGAGAGCAAUUUUCAGGAGUCAGUUUUCUCUUUCCCUCAUGUGGGGCUUGGGAUCAAACCUGACCUAAGUAGCUCUUCCACAAAUAUUUCACACAAAAUUGGAUAUUUCAUUUCAGACAUUGUAUCUUACUCUUUUUCAACUUCCCAUUUUUAAUUCUUUUUUUUUU